rnacentral:sRNA from 1 species
GAUCCAGUGGAGACGCAGUGGGGCCUGUAGAUUAGAGCACGUGGCUACGAACCACGGUGUCGGGGGUUCGAAUCCCUCCUCGCCCAC